UACGUAGGCAGCAAGCGUUGUUUGGAAUUACUGGGCGUAAAGAGUGUGUAGGCGGUGCUCCAAGUCUGGUGUGAAAUCUCCCGGCUUAACUGGGAGGGUGCAUUAGAAACUGGAAUGCUAGAGGAUGGGAGAGGUAGGCGGAAUUCCUGGUGUAGCGGUGAAAUGCGUAGAUAUCAGGAGGAACACCUGUGGUGUAGACAGCUUACUGGACCAUUUCUGACGCUGAGACACGAAAGCGUGGGUAGCAAACAGG
rnacentral:rRNA from 1 species